AUUGAACGCUGGCGGCAUGCUUUACACAUGCAAGUCGAACGGUAACAGGUUAAGCUGACGAGUGGCGAACGGGUGAGUAAUGCAUCGGAACGUGCCCGAUCGUGGGGGAUAACGCAGCGAAAGCUGCGCUAAUACCGCAUACGAUCUGAGGAUGAAAGCGGGGGACCGUAAGGCCUCGCGCGAUCGGAGCGGCCGAUGUCAGAUUAGGUAGUUGGUGGGGUAAAGGCCCACCAAGCCGACGAUCUGUAGCUGGUCUGAGAGGACGACCAGCCACACUGGGACUGAGACACGGCCCAGACUCCUAAGGGAGGCAGCAGUGGGGAAUUUUGGACAAUGGGCGAAAGCCUGAUCCAGCAAUGCCGCGUGAAGGAAGAAGGCCUUCGGGUUGUAAACUGCUUUUGUACGGAGCGAAAAGGUCCUUUCUAAUACAAGGGGCUCAUGACGGUACCGUAAGAAUAAGCACCGGCUAACUACGUGCCAGCCGCCGCAGUAA
rnacentral:rRNA from 1 species